AUUGAACGCUGGCGGCAUGCUUUACACAUGCAAGUCGAACGGUAACAGGCCGCAAGGUGCUGACGAGUGGCGAACGGGUGAGUAAUGCAUCGGAGCGUGCCCAGUCGUGGGGGAUAACUACUCGAAAGAGUAGCUAAUACCGCAUACGAUCUAUGGAUGAAAGCGGGGGACCGUAAGGCCUCGCGCGCUUGGAGCGGCCGAUGUCAGAUUAGGUAGUUGGUGGGGUAAAGGCUCACCAAGCCAACGAUCUGUAGCUGGUCUGAGAGGACGACCAGCCACACUGGGACUGAGACACGGCCCAGACUCCUACGGGAGGCAGCAGUGGGGAAUUUUGGACAAUGGGCGCAAGCCUGAUCCAGCAAUGCCGCGUGCAGGAAGAAGGCCUUCGGGUUGUAAACUGCUUUUGUACGGAACGAAACGGCUCUGGUUAAUACCCGGGGCUAAUGACGGUACCGUAAGAAUAAGCACCGGCUAACUACGUG
rnacentral:rRNA from 1 species